rnacentral:rRNA from 1 species
UACGUAGGGUGCGAGCGUUAAUCGGAAUUACUGGGCGUAAAGCGUGCGCAGGCGGUUGUGCAAGACAGAUGUGAAAUCCCCGGGCUUAACCUGGGAAUUGCAUUUGUGACUGCACGGCUAGAGUGUGUCAGAGGGGGGUAGAAUUCCACGUGUAGCAGUGAAAUGCGUAGAGAUGUGGAGGAAUACCGAUGGCGAAGGCAGCCCCCUGGGCCAACACUGACGCUCAUGCACGAAAGCGUGGGGAGCAAACAGG